rnacentral:rRNA from 1 species
UACGGGGGGGGCAAGCGUUGUUCGGAAUUACUGGGCGUAAAGGGCUCGUAGGCGGCCAACUAAGUCAGACGUGAAAUCCCCAGGCUUAACCUGGGAACUGCGUCUGAUACUGGAUGGCUUGAAUUCGGGAGAGGGAUGCAGAAUUCCAGGUGUAGCGGUGAAAUGCGUAGAUAUCGAGAGGAACACCAGUGGCGAAGGCGAGUCCCUGGACAACACCUGACACUGAGGCACGAAAGCUAGGGGAGCAAACAGG